UAACUUUUAAAGUAAACUUAUUUGUCAGUAUCAAAGAUAUUGCAUAUGAAUCCUAAAAAUUGAUAGUUCCACUGUACUCUGGCAUUGUUGCACCUUAUCAAAAGUGCUGAAUUUUAUUUACAGAAUCACAUUUUAAAAAAUGACAAUAGCCAUUAAUGCACAGAAGAGUAGGGUACCAUGAAUAAUAUCAUAUUAGAAAAUUUUGUCAUAUGAGGAAUUGUUGAGAGACCUAGACAUGAUUAGUGUGUUAGACUUUGUUGCCAUACAGUAGAGUCAGUUUGUCCUCAUAGUGCAAAAAGCUUUACAGGCAUUCUCUCAGUUGGUUUCUGUCACAAUUCUGUGUAGAAUAAACUGUAGUAUCUCCAUCCUUAGAAAUGGGAAAACCAAAUCUUAAAGAAAUUGAGUCAUUUGCCUAACCCCACACAAUUAAGGAGUCAUGUCCAGAUUCAAACUCAAGUCUGUCUGACUUCAGGGCCAUAGUAGAGCUUCUCAACAAUCAAACAGGCUGCAUCUGGACUCUGUAAAAACACUUCAUUACUGCAGAAAUAAGUAUUAUUUCUUCACAUGCCUGACGUCUUAUGGUGAAAGGAUCUUUCAUUACCUUGUUUUUAAUACAAGAGUUGACAAGCUACGUGCUUCUUUAUGAUCUUUGCAUGUCAGUAAUUUAGUCAUUUGAAAUUAAGUGAGCCUGUAUACACAUCUGAGAUGUGCUGGUCUUUGUUCCCCAUGUAUCCCAGCUGGUCUAUUUGAGAAAUGAAUUUCUCAAGCUAUGCAUAACAAGUACAGGAAAGCUCCUCACUACCAGAAUAUUACAGCAAAUGGCUGAUUUUUUUUUUUUUUUUUUUUUGCUGUUUUCUCUUUUACAUUUUCUUGCCUCAGUCUCUGAAGAUUAUAUUAAUCUACAUGCAUUUUAUUCUGAAUGUUUCUCAUCUUGUCCUGAAGGGAAGAUUUUCCAAAUGGAAAAAUGAGUUUUAAUCAUGGCAAAUUGUUCAAUUCAUGCUUUGAUAGCAAUUCUUUUUAAUCCAGUUCUUAGGUCCAUACAAGUCAUGUAAAAUUAAGUCUAGUACUUUAUGCUUAGGAUCUGGCAAAUUCUCAUGAGGGUAACAUUGGUUUUAACACACAGUAAUCCUGUGUAUGUGUGUGUGUGUGUGUGUGUGUGUGUGAUGGUUAGAGGGACUAAUUUUAGUGUCAGAUGAACUGCUUUUUCUCCAUUUAUUAAUUGUAGAACCUGGGUCUUCUCCCCAUUUGUAAAAAUGGAGCUAAUUGUAAAACCACUCAGGUCGGCUGUGUCAUAAGUGAGGUGAUAUUUAAUACACCCAGCAAAAUGACUAGAACACAUACAAUGUAUUUCAAUAACAUUAACAAUCUUCCCUUUCCAACAUCUCUUAUCAAUAUGAUGAGAAAACAUUUCUUUGUCAUGCAGUCUAUCAUAAUACCUGAGCAGCAGUUUCUUACUCCAACAGCAAGUAAAAAAACCUUUCCUGAAAAAGUGUUGCAUAUUUAUCUAAUGUGCACUUAUCAUCUGAGUGAAUGUUCUGAUUCUCAAAUUCUCUAGAAUACUGUCCUGUAGAACUUUCCAAACAAUGAUGAAAAUGUUCUGUAUGUGCACUGUCCAAGUCUCUAGCCACUUAACACAUCUGUCUAUUGAGCACUUGCAAUGUCGCUAAUGCCACUGAAUAACUAAUUUUUUAAUUUUAUUUAAGUGUAAAUAGUCACAUGUGGUUAGCAGCUAUUCUUUGGGCAGCACAGUUAUAGAGACUGGUCCCCUGUAGAGCUGA
rnacentral:lncRNA from 1 species